GGGAUUGCCUUAGUAACGGCGAGCGAAGCGGCAAUUGCUCAGAUUUGAAAUCUGGUCCCCUUGGGGCCCGAGUUGUAAUCUGUAGGGGAUGCUUCGGAGUCUGACCCGGCCUAAGUUCCUUGGAACAGGACGUCGCAGAGGGUGAGAAUCCCGUAUGCGGCCGGUGGACGUCUCCGUGCGAAGCUCCUCCGACGAGUCGAGUUGUUUGGGAAUGCAGCUCUAAAUGGGAGGUAAAUUUCUUCUAAAGCUAAAUACCGGCCAGAGACCGAUAGCGCACAAGUAGAGUGAUCGAAAGAUGAAAAGCACUUUGGAAAGAGAGUUAAAAAGUACGUGAAAUUGUUGAAAGGGAAGCGCUUGCAACCAGACUCGACCGCUAAGGAUCACCCCUCCCCGUGGAGGGCUCACUCCUCUGCGGUCGGGCCAGCAUCGGUUCGGGCGGUCGUUUAAAGGCGUUGGGAAGUGGGCUCCUCUCGGGGAGCGUUAUAGCCCUUCGUGCAAUGCGGCCUGCCCGGACCGAGGACCGCGCUCCGGCAAGGAUGCUGGCUUAAUGGUUGUAAGCGGCCCGUCUUGAAACACGGACCAAGGAGUCUAACAUCUAUGCGAGUGUUCGGGUGUCAAACCCCUACGCGCAAUGAAAGUGAACGGAGGUCGGAGCCCUCGGGCGCACGAUCGACCGAUCCUGAUGUCUUCGGAUGGAUUUGAGUAAGAGCAUAAAUGUUGGGACCCGAAAGAUGUGCGAACUAUGCUUGAGUAGGCCGAAGCCAGCGGAAACGCUGGUGGAGGGUCGCAGCGGUUCUGACGUGCAAAUCGAUCGUCAAACUUGAGUAUAGGGGCGAAAGACUAAUCGAGCCAUCUAGUAGCUGGUUCCUGCCGAAUUUCCCUUAGGAUAGCAGUAACGUUUUCAGUUUUAUGAGUAAAGCGAAUGAUUAGAGCCUGGGGGUUGAACACCUUCACUAUUCUCAACUUUAAUAUGUAAAAGCCUUGUUCUUAUUGAACUGGCCUCAUGUCCGUCAUGCUG
rnacentral:rRNA from 1 species